GUUGAACGCUGGCGGCGGGCCUAACACAUGCAAGUCGAACGGAUGCAGGGGGCUUGCUCCUCUAUUCGGCGGCGGACGGGUGCGUAAUGCCUAGAAAUCUGCCUGCUAGCGUUGGAUUACGUCCGGACACGGGCACGAAUACCUCAUACGUCCUGUUCGAGAUGCUGGGGGUUGUUCGGACCUCACGCUCUCUGGUGAGCCUAGGUGGGGUUAGCGAGUUGUCGGGGUGAUGGCGUACCAAGGCGACGCUCCGUAACUGGUCUGAGAGGGUGAUCAGUCACACUGGAACUGAGACACGGUCCAGACUGCUACGGGAGGCAGCAGUGGGGAAUAGUGGACGAUGGGCGAAAGUCUGAGACAGCCAGACCGAGUGAGUGAAGAAGGUCUUCGGAUUGUAAAGCGCUUUAAGUUGGGAGGAAGGGGAGUAAGUUAAUCCAGUGCUGUUGUGACGUGACCGACAGAAUAAGCACCGGCUAACUACGUG
rnacentral:rRNA from 1 species